rnacentral:rRNA from 1 species
UACAGAGACUGCGAGCGUUAUUCGGAUUCACUGGGCGUAAAGGGUGCGCAGGCGGCCGUGUGUGUUGGGCGUGAAAGCCCGGGGCUUAACCCCGGAAUUGCACCCAAAACUACACGGCUAGAGCAUUGGAGAGGGUAGCGGAAUUCACGGUGUAGCAGUGAAAUGCGUAGAUAUCAGGAGGAACACCAAUGGCGAAGGCAAUCCCCUGGACCUGUACUGACGCUCAUGCACGAAAGCGUGGGGAGCAAACAGG